rnacentral:misc_RNA from 1 species
AAGUCGUAACAAGGUUUCCGUAGGUGAACCUGCGGAAGGAUCAUUGACACACAUUGAUUCAUCACACACAAACAUAAUUCGUUGGGUGGCGGUCAUGCGAGGAGGUGAGGGAAUUAAACCCUCCCUCGACUCCGAGCAGGACCGCACACACACAAUAAAACCUUUCAUCCUCAUACGAUGAAAUUAAUCAACAAAUUAACUUAAAUUAAAACAAAAAACUAAAAAUAUUCAACGAUGGAUAUCUUGGUUCCCAUACCGAUGAAGAACGCAGC